rnacentral:rRNA from 1 species
GCUCUCGGGUGACGAGCGGCGGACGGGUGAGUAAUGUCUGGGAAACUGCCUGAUGGAGGGGGAUAACUACUGGAAACGGUAGCUAAUACCGCAUAAUGUCGCAAGACCAAAGUGGGGGACCUUCGGGCCUCAUGCCAUCAGAUGUGCCCAGAUGGGAUUAGCUAGUAGGUGGGGUAACGGCUCACCUAGGCGACGAUCCCUAGCUGGUCUGAGAGGAUGACCAGCCACACUGGAACUGAGACACGGUCCAGACUCCUACGGGAGGCAGCAGUGGGGAAUAUUGCACAAUGGGCGCAAGCCUGAUGCAGCCAUGCCGCGUGUGUGAAGAAGGCCUUCGGGUUGUAAAGCACUUUCAGCGGGGAGGAAGGCGGUAAGGUUAAUAACCUUGUCGAUUGACGUUACCCGCAGAAGAAGCACCGGCUAACUCCGUGCCAGCAGCCGCGGUAAUACGGAGGGUGCAAGCGUUAAUCGGAAUUACUGGGCGUAAAGCGCACGCAGGCGGUCUGUCAAGUCGGAUGUGAAAUCCCCGGGCUCAACCUGGGAACUGCAUUCGAAACUGGCAGGCUAGAGUCUUGUAGAGGGGGGUAGAAUUCCAGGUGUAGCGGUGAAAUGCGUAGAGAUCUGGAGGAAUACCGGUGGCGAAGGCGGCCCCCUGGACAAAGACUGACGCUCAGGUGCGAAAGCGUGGGGAGCAAACAGGAUUAGAUACCCUGGUAGUCCACGCCGUAAACGAUGUCGAUUUGGAGGUUGUGCCCUUGAGGCGUGGCUUCCGGAGCUAACGCGUUAAAUCGACCGCCUGGGGAGUACGGCCGCAAGGUUAAAACUCAAAUGAAUUGACGGGGGCCCGCACAAGCGGUGGAGCAUGUGGUUUAAUUCGAUGCAACGCGAAGAACCUUACCUGGUCUUGACAUCCACAGAACUUUCCAGAGAUGGAUUGGUGCCUUCGGGAACUGUGAGACAGGUGCUGCAUGGCUGUCGUCAGCUCGUGUUGUGAAAUGUUGGGUUAAGUCCCGCAACGAGCGCAACCCUUAUCCUUUGUUGCCAGCGGUUAGGCCGGGAACUCAAAGGAGACUGCCAGUGAUAAACUGGAGGAAGGUGGGGAUGACGUCAAGUCAUCAUGGCCCUUACGACCAGGGCUACACACGUGCUACAAUGGCAUAUACAAAGAGAAGCGACCUCGCGAGAGCAAGCGGACCUCAUAAAGUAUGUCGUAGUCCGGAUUGGAGUCUGCAACUCGACUCCAUGAAGUCGGAAUCGCUAGUAAUCGUAGAUCAGAAUGCUACGGUGAAUACGUUCCCGGGCCUUGUACACACCGCCCGUCACACCAUGGGAGUGGGUUGCAAAAGAAGUAGGUAGCUUAACCUUCGGGAGGGCGCUUACCACUUUGUGAUUCAUGACUGGGGUGAAGUCGUAACAAGGUAACCGUAGGGGAACCUGCGGUUGGAUCACCUCCUUACCUUAAAGAA